UUGACGGUACCUGACGAGAAAGCCACGGCUAACUACGUGCCAGCAGCCGCGGUAAUACGUAGGUGGCAAGCGUUGUCCGGAUUUAUUGGGCGUAAAGCGCGCGCAGGCGGUUAUGUAAGUCUGGUGUUAAAGCCCGGGGCUCAACCCCGGUUCGCAUCGGAAACUGUGUAGCUUGAGUGCAGAAGAGGAAAGCGGUAUUCCACGUGUAGCGGUGAAAUGCGUAGAGAUGUGGAGGAACACCAGUGGCGAAGGCGGCUUUCUGGUCUGUAACUGACGCUGAGGCGCGAAAGCGUGGGGAGCAAACAGGAUUAGAUACCCUGGUAGUCCACGCCGUAAACGAUGAGUGCUAGGUGUUGGGGGUUUCAGUACCCUUCAGUGCCGCAGCUAACGCAAUAAGCAUUCCGCCU
rnacentral:rRNA from 1 species